rfam:Schistosoma rodhaini strain Burundi genome assembly, scaffold: SROB_scaffold0003016
GCACUGCUGAGGAGUCCCAUAAUAGGACGAAAAGGCAGUCCAGUGU